AAACAGUGCGACAAACCGGAAAACGUUCCCGAAUGUUAUUACGAGUGACGUCUGCAAUGUUGACGCCAAGAAAGUCUCAUCAAGGAGGCGGGCGGCGGCGAUGCCAUCAAGAGGAAGUGAAGCCAUACCGAGGACUGCAGCAAGGGAUGUACCGAGGAAUUCAUCACGAGCAGUACUGGUUCGCACAUACCGGGGAUCAUCGCACCUAUGACUAUAAGGCAAUCCAAACAUAAAACACGAUGGCCUUAUCGUAUGAACCAGAUUUUACCACGCCCACUUUAAUCGGUCCUGCCCAUUGCGCGUACAUUGCGACCAAAUACGUCAUGUUGUGAAUGAAACCCACCCGAGCGAGGACGACCCAAGAUACCUAAAAUACUUUUACACUAUCCAGUUGAACAAAAUUCUUCAUGUCUUGCAAUCAUGUAAUCAUCUCAUCGUAGAUAAUCAGUCCCGCUUCAAACGUGUUCAUGGUGGUUGCCGCAACUCCACAAACGAUCAGUGUGUUACCAUCGUACAUAUCACUUGUUACAUUGCAGACGUAUAGUUUGCACAGUCUAUGUCAACUUUCAAUGCUCCGUCGUGUUGCGUUGCACAUGUAACUCACACAGCGCACGGAAACGCACACAUGUAACGCACACAGCAUCGAAAGGUGCGCCCUGCGGUGACUGCUCAUGGUUCUAACGUGGCCGACGACUGCUUGCGGUCGACGUCUGGCGACAGAGGAUUUCUAAUUUCCCGAACUGCACUAACGUGACUGAAAUGCGUUUAAAAUGCGGAGUUGUCAUGGUGACGCAUGCGACACGGUUAGAUGUGGUGAAAUAUUUCGUGAUUGAUCUUGGAGAUAUUUCAUGAUUGGUCGUGAUGGGAUGUCAAUAGUGACAGUGGCGAGGCUUCAGGGUUAGGUGUGAUGAGACGGGACUGCGGAGCAAUAAUUCAUGUUUCGUUUUUAAUACACCUUGUGGUUGUCGCAUC